UACGUAGGGUGCGAGCGUUGUCCGGAAUUACUGGGCGUAAAGAGCUUGUAGGUGGUUUGUCGCGUUGUUCGUGAAAUCUCACGGCUCAACUGUGAGCGUGCGGGCGAUACGGGCAGACUAGAGUACUGCAGGGGAGACUGGAAUUCCUGGUGUAGCGGUGGAAUGCGCAGAUAUCAGGAGGAACACCGGUGGCGAAGGCGGAUCUCUGGGCCAUUACUGACGCUGAGGAGCGAAAGCGUGGGGAGCGAACAGG
rnacentral:rRNA from 1 species